GGGACGCUGGGCCCCGCCGCCAAUCCGCGCCCGCUGCCCGCGCCUCCACCCCGGGGCGCACCCCCCAGAGCCCGCACCGCCCUGCGCGGGGAGGCGGGGCGCAGGGUGCGAGCGGGGAGGCGGGGCGCGGGGUGCGAGCCGGGCGGCGGGAGGGGCGCCUGGGGAGCGCGGGGGGGCCUGCAGGGGAGCGCGGGGGAGGCUGCAGGGGAGCGCGGGGGGGCUGCAGGGGAGCGCGGGGUCCUGCAGGGGAGCGCGGGAGGGGCUGCAGGGGAGCGCGUGGGGUCUGCAAGGGAGCGCGUGGGGGCUGCAGGGGAGCGCGGGAGGGGCUGCAGGGGAGCGCCGGGGGCCUGCAGGGGAGCGCGGGAGGGGCUGCAGGAGAGCGCGGGGGGCUGCAGGGGAGCGCGGGGGGGGGGCUGCAGGGGAGCGCGGGGGGCCUGCAGGGGAGCGCGGGGGGCCUGCAGGGGAGCGCGGGAGGGGCUGCAGGGGAGCGCGUGGGGGCUGCCCCGCGGCUCACUCGAAGGCCUGCCCAACCGCGGCUUUGAGCUCCGCGGGGAGGGCGUCGGAUCCGUGCGGUUCACGCGCGCGCUGCGUCCGGGCCGAGGGCUGAGAGCGCGCGGCGCCCCUUCGGCGGGCCCCUGUGCGGACGCGCCCCAGACCUCGGCCUCCGCAGCAGGUGCCCGGGCUGCCCGCGGCCCCGCCCCCCCAAGACGCCCGACGCUGCGAGGAAAGCCCCUUCGACUCGGCCAGACACCCGGGGCGCGGACACCCCCACUCCCACCCCCUCCACCCCCCAGCUGCCUCCCGCCGCGCUGCCCCCGCCAGCUUCGCGCGGGACUCGGCGGCUGCAGGUGCCCCGGGCUGCUCGCGGGCACAGACGCGUGGGGAGGACGGACGCCGCGGAGGGGGAGGGAGGCAGACGGCCAAUGGGGUGUAGAGGACGGCCGGCCGCGGGGGGACAGCGCCGAGCACAGCCCGCGUUCCCGCCCUGGCCCGGGCUCCGGGUGCCCCGCCGCCGCCCGCCCGCGCGACCCUCCGGCACCCCCUGGUGGCCGCCUGGUGCUACGGCGACUCGCCGCCCGCGAGGCCGGGCCCGCUGCGGUCGCUCCGCCUCCCGGCUCGGGCUUCGCCGUCGGAAGCACCUGCGGACUCGCAGAGCCGGGCGAACCCAACACACCGGAGCGUUCACCCUGA
rnacentral:lncRNA from 1 species